UACGUAGGGUGCGAGCGUUAUUCGGAAUUACUGGGCGUAAAGCGCACGUAGGCGGCUUUGUAAGUUAGAGGUGAAAGCCUGGAGCUCAACUCCAGAAUUGCCUUUAAGACUGCAUCGCUUGAAUCCAGGAGAGGUGAGUGGAAUUCCGAGUGUAGAGGUGAAAUUCGUAGAUAUUCGGAAGAACACCAGUGGCGAAGGCGGCUCACUGGACUGGUAUUGACGCUGAGGUGGCGAAAGCGUGGGGAGCAAACAGG
rnacentral:rRNA from 1 species